rnacentral:rRNA from 1 species
GACGAACGCUGGCGGCGUGCCUAAUACAUGCAAGUUGAGCGCUGAAGGUUGGUCCUUGUACCAACUGGAUGAGCAGCGAACGGGUGAGUAACGCGUGGGGAAUCUGCCUUUGAGCGGGGGACAACAUUUGGAAACGAAUGCUAAUACCGCAUAAAAACUUUAAACACAAGUUUUAAGUUUGAAAGAUGCAAUUGCAUCACUCAAAGAUGAUCCCGCGUUGUAUUAGCUAGUUGGUGAGGUAAAGGCUCACCAAGGCGAUGUUACAUAGCCGACCUGAGAGGGUGGUCGGCCACCUUGGGACUGAGACACGGCCCAAACUCCUACGGGAAGCAGCCGUAGGGCAUCUUCGGCCAUGGGCGGAAGUCUGACCGAACAACGCCGCGUGAGUGGAGAAGGUUUUCGGGUCGUAAAACUCUGUUGGUAGGGAAGAAAGUUGGUGAGAGUGGAAAGCUCAUCAAGUGACGGUAACUACCCAGAAAGCGACGGCUAACUACGUG